rnacentral:lncRNA from 1 species
GCCAGGUGGUGGAGAAAGGAACGGGAUAGAAGGAAUUGUAGUUGGGAUAGUGGGGAUAGAAGGCAUGCUUGGCAAUGGAGGCAAAGUGACCUUAGGAACAGUAGGCAUUGUAGGCAAGCUAGGAAGUGGAGGCUGUGUAGUUGGUAAGGUUGGCAGUGUUGGCUGAGGCAGAGUUGGGAUAGAUGGCAUGCUUGGCAAUGGAGGCAAAGUGACCUUAGGAACAGUAGGCAUUGUAGGCAAGCUAGGAAGUGGAGGCUGUGUAGUUGGUAAGGUUGGCAGUGUUGGCUGAGGCAGAGUUGGGAUAGAUGGCAUGCUUGGCAAUGGAGGCAAAGUGACCUUAGGAACAGUAGGCAUUGUAGGCCAGCUAGGAAGUGGAGGCUGUGUAGUUGGUAAGGUUGGCAGUGUAGGCUGAGGCAGAGUUGGGAUAUUGCUAGGCAACGGUGGGAAUGUAGGCUUUGGCAUAUUUGGAAUAGAAGGCAAUGGAGGCAUUUGCAAGAGAUGACGAGCCGCUAAGCCAACAUCCAUGCUUGCAAAUGACAAAGC